ACACUAGUACAACAAUCGUCUGCUAGCCUAGCUAGUAGCUACUCUAGCUACGUGAUGAGCUAAGUGAUGAGCACAAUUAGUGGAUUAAAGUUAUAUUUUAACCUAGAACAAAUUGCAAGAAUUGAUUUUUUUAAUGAGCUUUAUUACUAUCAAGGUAAUAAAUACUUGUUAAAAACCCCCCGAAGAAAUGAUUAUAUUUACUAUUAAAAAUAUUGAAUUUAAAUUAAAAAUUAGUUAAUUAAUAGUUCAAUGAAAUUUUUAAUUUAAAUUCAAUAUUUUUAAUAGUAAAUAUAAUUAUUUCUUCGGGGGUUUUAAACAAGUAUUUAUUACCUUGAUAGUAAUAAAGUUCAUUAAAAAAUCAAUUCUUGCAAUUUGUUCUAGGUUAACAUAGCCUUUUGGCAUAACUUUACUCCACUAAAUUGUCUUGACCCAACUCGUAUAAAAGUGAGAAAGGCUCUCAGUAAAGCAUUGUGGGACAGAAGCCGCAGUGAUGUUUCUCUUCAAGUCCACACUGCAGUGGAAAGCAAUCAACUUGCCAUGGAUGUUGAGCACUCUAUUUUCUCGUGCACCUUUCUGGAUUGCCCAAGGUACAAGACUAAGUAUCGACAACUGUACUUCAGCAUUAGAGAUCUCAGCAACAGACUCUACAGGAAAAUAUUAUUGUAACGAUCCCUCCCUUUUGAUGAAUUGGUCAUGCUACCAAUUGGGAGUUGGCUAACGAAGCAACGAAAGAUUGGAGGAAGCUCUUAGUCAAACACCGACUCGAUUCUAUUCGAAUGAACGAAGUUACCAAGAUGAACAGCCAUGAAGUGUGUUUUGUUAAAACAGUCGAAGGGGCACGUGUUCCCCGACCGUUGUGACUUCGACGUCGGUAACUGGUAACUGGUUUCGCUUAUUUUCUUUUGCACAAUUAUUAUCCGAUUUAAAAGGGCCGAAAUUUGCCGAAAAGAAGAAGAAUGCCAUAAAAUUCCGUCUAAACGCAUCUCACGAUCCACCGGACUACGAACAAAAUGCGUGGAAGGCUCUUCGAAUCAACAGGUGGUUCUGGAAUCGCCGAUUACACCACGCAGUGAUUACUCGCGUCUAAUAAACUGCAGAUUUCUGCAUUGAGAACGGAAUUGCAAAGGCGCCCGCAAGACGACCAUCUUUUAAAUUGGAUGGUUUGGCGAGAAAGAGAGCCAACUUCUGGCGGCUUUUUGGUUGAUUUGGGUGAAGGAAAACGUUCCCUCCUGACGUCUUUGAUAAGCCAUAACAGGAGCACUUUGAUAAUUUGUGCUGAAAAUUCUCUUGGUGAAUGGAUCGAAACUAUGCGCCGUUCUGGACUUAGCGUGGCUAAAUAUUUUGGAGUAAAUCGACGAUUUUGAUCUCCACUCUUCACGAAUUUGAAGUCGUAGCGACUACAUUUAAGAAUUUUAAUAGAUAUUAAUGCACGAAGUUAAUUUACUUUCUGGAUCAGCGCCUGAGCUACAGUAUAACUCGAUUUUAAUCCAAACUGAGUUUCAGUGCAUUGUUAUUGAUGGGCUAGGGGAUCCUGUCUUCCUUCAAAAACUACUUAAAUUGCGUGCCGCUCGGCGAUGGGUUAUCGCUGGAGACCUCAUUGACAGUCACGUGAAGCUACACUCGCACUUGCGAGCCCUAUGUGCUUCGCCUUUUGACGAAAAAGAGUUUUUGAAUAUUUGGAUAAAUAACAAAGACGGAGAAGCCAAAGCUCGCGUGGAUCUUCUCAUGCAAGUUUUACAAUUACGUGUUUCAGCACCCCUCCCGCUUAGAUUGGUCUCGAUUAUGAGUAACGGUAAUGGCCAAAUGGCAAACAAGCAAGAUUUUUCUAUUUUUAACUUACUCUCAGAGUGGCAUUCUAAGUAGCAAAUUUGUCAAUUGAUGUUAAAAAUUUAACGUAACUUAAACUUAGGGGAUAAUUUACUUGACUGUUGAUUCCCUUAUUUUUCCCCGGAUAAGAUUGUUGUAUUUGUUUGGCUUCUGAACUUCUUUGCACUUGACCAAAUCCCAGAAUUGUCAAUUGUAAAAAGCUAAAUUCGGCUGUUGCUAUGAUAAAUGAAAUAAAAAUGUGUCAAGAAAA